rnacentral:rRNA from 1 species
AAAUUGAAGAGUUUGAUCAUGGCUCAGAUUGAACGCUGGCGGCAGGCCUAACACAUGCAAGUCGAACGGUAACAGGAAGCAGCUUGCUGCUUUGCUGACGAGUGGCGGACGGGUGAGUAAUGUCUGGGAAACUGCCUGAUGGAGGGGGAUAACUACUGGAAACGGUGGCUAAUACCGCAUAACGUCGCAAGACCAAAGAGGGGGACCUUCGGGCCUCUUGCCAUCAGAUGUGCCCAGAUGGGAUUAGCUUGUUGGUGAGGUAACGGCUCACCAAGGCGACGAUCCCUAGCUGGUCUGAGAGGAUGACCAGCCACACUGGAACUGAGACACGGUCCAGACUCCUACGGGAGGCAGCAGUGGGGAAUAUUGCACAAUGGGCGCAAGCCUGAUGCAGCCAUGCCGCGUGUAUGAAGAAGGCCUUCGGGUUGUAAAGUACUUUCAGCGGGGAGGAAGGUGUUGUGGUUAAUAACCGCAGCAAUUGACGUUACCCGCAGAAGAAGCACCGGCUAACUCCGUGCCAGCAGCCGCGGUAAUACGGAGGGUGCAAGCGUUAAUCGGAAUUACUGGGCGUAAAGCGCACGCAGGCGGUCUGUCAAGUCGGAUGUGAAAUCCCCGGGCUCAACCUGGGAACUGCAUUCGAAACUGGCAGGCUUGAGUCUUGUAGAGGGGGGUAGAAUUCCAGGUGUAGCGGUGAAAUGCGUAGAGAUCUGGAGGAAUACCGGUGGCGAAGGCGGCCCCCUGGACAAAGACUGACGCUCAGGUGCGAAAGCGUGGGGAGCAAACAGGAUUAGAUACCCUGGUAGUCCACGCCGUAAACGAUGUCUACUUGGAGGUUGUGCCCUUGAGGCGUGGCUUCCGGAGCUAACGCGUUAAGUAGACCGCCUGGGGAGUACGGCCGCAAGGUUAAAACUCAAAUGAAUUGACGGGGGCCCGCACAAGCGGUGGAGCAUGUGGUUUAAUUCGAUGCAACGCGAAGAACCUUACCUGGUCUUGACAUCCACAGAACUUUCCAGAGAUGGACUGGUGCCUUCGGGAACUGUGAGACAGGUGCUGCAUGGCUGUCGUCAGCUCGUGUUGUGAAAUGUUGGGUUAAGUCCCGCAACGAGCGCAACCCUUAUCCUUUGUUGCCAGCGAUUAGGUCGGGAACUCAAAGGAGACUGCCAGUGAUAAACUGGAGGAAGGUGGGGAUGACGUCAAGUCAUCAUGGCCCUUACGACCAGGGCUACACACGUGCUACAAUGGCGCAUACAAAGAGAAGCGACCUCGCGAGAGCAAGCGGACCUCAUAAAGUGCGUCGUAGUCCGGAUUGGAGUCUGCAACUCGACUCCAUGAAGUCGGAAUCGCUAGUAAUCGUGGAUCAGAAUGCCACGGUGAAUACGUUCCCGGGCCUUGUACACACCGCCCGUCACACCAUGGGAGUGGGUUACAAAAGAAGUAGGUAGCUUAACCUUCGGGAGGGCGCUUACCACUUUGUGAUUCAUGACUGGGGUGAAGUCGUAACAAGGUAACCGUAGGGGAACCUGCGGUUGGAUCACCUCCUUACCUUAAAGAA